CAGCAGCCGCGGUAAUACGUAGGUGGCAAGCGUUGUCCGGAAUCAUUGGGCGUAAAGGGCUCGCAGGCGGUUUCUUAAGUCUGAUGUGAAAGCCCCCGGCUCAACCGGGGCGGGUCAUUGGAAACUGGGAAACUUGAGUGCAGAAGAGGAGGGUGGAAUUCCACGUGUAGCGGUGAAAUGCGUAGAGAUGUGGAGGAACACCAGUGGCGAAGGCGACUCUCUGGUCUGUAACUGACGCUGAGGAGCGAAAGCGUGGGGAGCGAACAGGAUUAGAUACCCCCGUAGUCCCUGUCUCUUAUAC
rnacentral:rRNA from 1 species